CUGGCUUGUCUGCAGCACUGGGGGGUGGACUUUGACAAUUAAUGUGUUUCACCUGACCUGACCAUAUUGACCCUGGCUUCUGACAUCGUUUUAUCUGACCUCUGGCUUCCUUUGACUUUGGCUACUCUUCAUUGAUCCUGACCUCUGGCAUCCUUUGACUUCGGCUAUCCCUUGCCUAUCCUGCUGUUUGUGUCCUUGCCUGUACUGCGACUUGAAACUUUAUCCUGCACAACACCGGGGAAAG